rnacentral:misc_RNA from 1 species
GAUGAAGAACGUAGCGAAAUGCGAUACGUAAUGUGAAUUGCAGAAUUCAGUGAAUCAUCGAGUCUUUGAACGCACAUUGCGCCCCCUGGUAUUCCGGGGGGCAUGCCUGUCCGAGCGUCAUUGCUGCCCUCAAGCCCGGCUUGUGUGUUGGGUCUCGUCCCCCUUCCCGGGGGGACGGGCCCGAAAGGCAGCGGCGGCACCGUGUCCGGUCCUCGAGCGUAUGGGGCUUUGUCACCCGCUCUGUAGGCCCGGCCGGCGCUUGCCGAUCAACCAAAACUUUUUUCCAGGUUGACCUCGGAUCAGGUAGGGAUACCCGCUGAACUUAAGCAUAUCAAUAAGCGGAGGAA